UACGUAGGGGGCAAGCGUUGUCCGGAUUCAUUGGGCGUAAAGAGCGUGUAGGCGGCCAGGUAGGUCGGUUGUGAAAACUGGAGGCUCAACCUUCAGACGUCGACCGAAACCAUCUGGCUAGAGUCCGGGAGAGGAGAGUGGAAUUCCUGGUGUAGCGGUGAAAUGCGCAGAUAUCAGGAAGAACACCCGUGGCUAAGGCGGCUCUCUAGUACGGUACUGACGCUGAGACGCGAAAGCGUGGGGAGCGAACAGG
rnacentral:rRNA from 1 species